rnacentral:rRNA from 1 species
CCUACGGGAGGCAGCAGUGGGGAAUCUUGCGCAAUGGGCGAAAGCCUGACGCAGCAACGCCGCGUGCGGGAAGAAGGCUUUCGGGCUGUAAACCGCUUUCAGCAGGAACGAAAAUGACGGUACCUGCAGAAGAAGGAGCGGCCAACUAUGUGCCAGCAGCCGCGGUGAUACAUAGGCUUCAAGCGUUGUCCGGAUUUAUUGGGCGUAAAGAGUUCGUAGGCGGUCGAGUAAGUCGGGUGUGAAAAUUCUGGGCUCAACCCAGAGACGCCACCCGAUACUGCUUGACUUGAGUUCGAUAGGGGAGUGGGGAAUUCCUAGUGUAGCGGCGAAAUGCGCAGAUAUUAGGAGGAACACCGGUGGCGAAGGCGCCACUCUGGAUCGAUACUGACGCUGAGGAACGAAAGCAUGGGUAGCAAACAGGAUUAGAUACCCUGGUAGUCCAUGCCGUAAACGGUGGGCACUAGGUGUGGGUUUCUAUUAACGAAAUCCGCGCCGUCGCUAACGCAUUAAGUGCCCCGCUGGGGAGUACGGUGCAAGACUAGAACUCAAAGGAAUUGACGGCUGAGACGNGCGACGACGACGACGAGGAGAG